UGACCUCGGAUCAGUCGUGAUUACCCGCUGAACUUAAGCAUAUCAAUAAGCGGAGGAAAAGAAACUAACAAGGAUUCCCCUAGUAACGGCGAGUGAAGAGGGAAGAGCCCAGCACCGAAGCCUGCGGCAGUUUUGCUGCUAGGCCAUGUGGUGUGUGGGUCGGCUCGCGGGACCGUCACUCCACUCGAAGUCCAGCAUUGAGUACGGUUGCUUGGAUUUGGCCCAUAGAGGGUGAGAGGCCCGUACGGGUGGAGGUUCAGACAUGUGCGAUGGUUCACCAGGCCGGCCUCAGAGUCGGGUUGUUUGAGAUUGCAGCCCAAAGAGGGUGGUAAACUCCAUCCAAGGCUAAAUACUUGCACGAGUCCGAUAGCGAACAAGUACCGUGAGGGAAAGUUGAAAAGUACUCUGAAGAGAGAGUAAACAGUACGUGAAGCCGCAUGCAGGUAAACGGGUGGCGUCAAGCUGCGAGCUCGGAGAAUUCAGCUGACUGGGAUGUAGUGAACGUGCCUGGUGCGUCCAGUGGCCGGAGUAAGGUGUGGUGGUCCACUCCUCCGUUGGGAGUGGGGUGGUGGGGUGUGUGAGCGCCUUGCUGCUAUGCGUGCCGGUUGUGUACGGUGCAUACCGCUCAUCCGAGGGCCGACCAGUCAGUGCACUUUCUCUGUGGCGAACACCACGACCGGUGGAAUUGCCAGUCUGCUGUGGUCAAGUCGUGUCUACCUGGUGUCUCCAGCGUCUUCGGGCGUGAAGAGCCUAGGCGGAUGCGAUCGCGGGUGAGUGUCGUGAACGGCAUAGUGGUGCUUCGGUAUUACUGUGUGUUAUCGUAUACGCCUCGCCUUAACACUCUACUCGGUGUAUUGUGACUACAUCGGGCUAGGUGGCAGACCAUGGUGGUGAAAGUAACUGUGCAAGGCACCGGAGUUAGCCACUUCUACUUAUAGUGCUCAGCACACGCGUUACAAGCGUUAUUAAUCUGAGGUGUGCGUCUGUCUGCGUGAGUUGGACUUGGCUGUCGUGUCGCCUGCGCAAAGUGGGUCCGGCGGUGGUCUUCAGCUUGCUGUGGGCAGGGCAGUGCAUCUUGGGGUGCUUGUGGCACUGGGAGUGACAUAGUCUGUGGUGCUGUGGUAGACGAGCUACCC
rnacentral:rRNA from 1 species